rnacentral:lncRNA from 1 species
GAGGAGAAUAAGCUAAUUUGUGGAAGGGCAUUUUGGUAAUUUCUAAGGGAGUGGAUAAGCUUGGGCCAUAAAUAUCCUCUCCUUCUAGCAACUUCUUGGGAUUUCCAGUAGCUUCUUCUUCUUGUUCUCUUCCCUCUCACAUUUCUUCAAUUCUUCCAUGGAAGCUUGAUGUGAAGCUUUCAAACUUUCUCUCUCUAGCUCUAAUUUUCAUACCUUUGUGCCCUUUUGACUAUAACCCUUGUAUUCUUCCACUCUCUCACUUUAAAACCCUUGAAAAUGAUGAAAAUCUUGUUUCCAUACUCUCUCACUAGUUAGGUGUUUUAGAGAGAGAAAGAGGAAGCUUUAUUAAUAGCUUGAGAGCUUUUGGAAAGAAGUUCAAAGUUACAAAGCUAUCAAGGUGAGUAGUAAACUAGUAUUGGGUUUUAAGUGUUGAGAAUGACUAGAGAUUUGAUUUGUGAAUAUUUUGUAGUUG